rnacentral:rRNA from 1 species
GAUGAACGCUGGCGGCGUGCCUAAUACAUGCAAGUCGAGCGCGCGGCGGAGGGGUGUGUAAUGUCUGGGAAACUGCCCUAUGGAGGGGGAUAACUACUGGAAACGGUAGCUAAUCCCGCAUACCAUCAGAUGUGCCCAGAUGGGAUUAUCUAGUAGGUGGGGUAACGGCUCACCUAGGCGAAGAUCCCUAGCUGGUCUGAGAGGAUGACCAGCCACACUGGAACUGAGACACGGUCCAGACUCCUACGGGAGGCAGCAGUGGGGAAUAUUGCACAAUGGGCGCAAGCCUGAUGCAGCCAUGCCGCGUGUGUGAAGAAGGCCUUCGGGUUGUAAAGCACUUUCAGCGAGGAGGCGUUACUCGCAGAAGAAGCACCGGCUAACUCCGUGCCAGCAGCCGCGGUAAUAC